rnacentral:tRNA from 1 species
GGGUAGGUUCCGGAGUGGUCAAACGGGGCAGACUGUAAAUUUGCUGGCUCACGCCUUCGCUGGUUCAAGUCCAGCCCUGCCCACCA